GAUUAAGUUAUUAAGGGCGCACGGUGGAUGCCUUGGCACUAGAAGCCGAUGAAGGACGUUACUAACGACGAUAUGCUUUGGGGAGCUGUAAGUAAGCUUUGAUCCAGAGAUUUCCGAAUGGGGAAACCCAGCAUGAGUUAUGUCAUGUUAUCGAUAUGUGAAUACAUAGCAUAUCAGAAGGCACACCCGGAGAACUGAAACAUCUUAGUACCCGGAGGAAGAGAAAGAAAAUUCGAUUCCCUUAGUAGCGGCGAGCGAAACGGGAAGAGCCCAAACCAACAAGCUUGCUUGUUGGGGUUGUAGGACACUCUAUACGGAGUUACAAAGGACGACAUUAGACGAAUCAUCUGGAAAGAUGAAUCAAAGAAGGUAAUAAUCCUGUAGUCGAAAAUGUUGUCUCUCUUGAGUGGAUCCUGAGUACGACGGAGCACGUGAAAUUCCGUCGGAAUCUGGGAGGACCAUCUCCUAAGGCUAAAUACUCUCUAGUGACCGAUAGUGAACCAGUACCGUGAGGGAAAGGUGAAAAGCACCCCCGGAGGGGAGUGAAAUAGAACCUGAAACCGUGUGCUUACAAGUAGUCAGAGCCCGUUAAUGGGUGAUGGCGUGCCUUUUGUAGAAUGAACCGGCGAGUUACGAUUUGAUGCAAGGUUAAGCAGUAAAUGGAGCCGUAGCGAAAGCGAGUCUGAAUAGGGCGUUUAGUAUUUGGUCGUAGACCCGAAACCAGGUGAUCUACCCUUGGUCAGGUUGAAGUUCAGGUAACACUGAAUGGAGGACCGAACCGACUUACGUUGAAAAGUGAGCGGAUGAACUGAGGGUAGCGGAGAAAUUCCAAUCGAACCUGGAGAUAGCUGGUUCUCUCCGAAAUAGCUUUAGGGCUAGCCUCAAGUGAUGAUUAUUGGAGGUAGAGCACUGUUUGGACGAGGGGCCCCUCUCGGGUUACCGAAUUCAGACAAACUCCGAAUGCCAAUUAAUUUAACUUGGGAGUCAGAACAUGGGUGAUAAGGUCCGUGUUCGAAAGGGAAACAGCCCAGACCACCAGCUAAGGUCCCAAAAUAUAUGUUAAGUGGAAAAGGAUGUGGCGUUGCCCAGACAACUAGGAUGUUGGCUUAGAAGCAGCCAUCAUUUAAAGAGUGCGUAAUAGCUCACUAGUCGAGUGACACUGCGCCGAAAAUGUACCGGGGCUAAACAUAUUACCGAAGCUGUGGAUUGUCCUUUGGACAAUGGUAGGAGAGCGUUCUAAGGGCGUUGAAGCAUGAUCGUAAGGACAUGUGGAGCGCUUAGAAGUGAGAAUGCCGGUGUGAGUAGCGAAAGACGGGUGAGAAUCCCGUCCACCGAUUGACUAAGGUUUCCAGAGGAAGGCUCGUCCGCUCUGGGUUAGUCGGGUCCUAAGCUGAGGCCGACAGGCGUAGGCGAUGGAUAACAGGUUGAUAUUCCUGUACCACCUAUAAUCGUUUUAAUCGAUGGGGGGGACGCAGUAGGAUAGGCGAAGCGUGCGAUUGGAUUGCACGUCUAAGCAGUAAGGCUGAGUAUUAGGCAAAUCCGGUACUCGUUAAGGCUGAGCUGUGAUGGGGAGAAGACAUUGUGUCUUCGAGUCGUUGAUUUCACACUGCCGAGAAAAGCCUCUAGAUAGAAAAUAGGUGCCCGUACCGCAAACCGACACAGGUAGUCAAGAUGAGAAUUCUAAGGUGAGCGAGCGAACUCUCGUUAAGGAACUCGGCAAAAUGACCCCGUAACUUCGGGAGAAGGGGUGCUCUUUAGGGUUAACGCCCAGAAGAGCCGCAGUGAAUAGGCCCAAGCGACUGUUUAUCAAAAACACAGGUCUCUGCUAAACCGUAAGGUGAUGUAUAGGGGCUGACGCCUGCCCGGUGCUGGAAGGUUAAGAGGAGUGGUUAGCUUCUGCGAAGCUACGAAUCGAAGCCCCAGUAAACGGCGGCCGUAACUAUAACGGUCCUAAGGUAGCGAAAUUCCUUGUCGGGUAAGUUCCGACCCGCACGAAAGGCGUAACGAUUUGGGCACUGUCUCAACGAGAGACUCGGUGAAAUCAUAGUACCUGUGAAGAUGCAGGUUACCCGCGACAGGACGGAAAGACCCCGUGGAGCUUUACUGUAGCCUGAUAUUGAAAUUCGGCACAGCUUGUACAGGAUAGGUAGGAGCCUUUGAAACGUGAGCGCUAGCUUACGUGGAGGCGCUGGUGGGAUACUACCCUAGCUGUGUUGGCUUUCUAACCCGCACCACUUAUCGUGGUGGGAGACAGUGUCAGGCGGGCAGUUUGACUGGGGCGGUCGCCUCCUAAAAGGUAACGGAGGCGCUCAAAGGUUCCCUCAGAAUGGUUGGAAAUCAUUCAUAGAGUGUAAAGGCAUAAGGGAGCUUGACUGCGAGACCUACAAGUCGAGCAGGGUCGAAAGACGGACUUAGUGAUCCGGUGGUUCCGCAUGGAAGGGCCAUCGCUCAACGGAUAAAAGCUACCCCGGGGAUAACAGGCUUAUCUCCCCCAAGAGUUCACAUCGACGGGGAGGUUUGGCACCUCGAUGUCGGCUCAUCGCAUCCUGGGGCUGUAGUCGGUCCCAAGGGUUGGGCUGUUCGCCCAUUAAAGCGGUACGCGAGCUGGGUUCAGAACGUCGUGAGACAGUUCGGUCCCUAUCCGUCGUGGGCGUAGGAAAUUUGAGAGGAGCUGUCCUUAGUACGAGAGGACCGGGAUGGACAUACCUCUGGUGUACCAGUUGUCGUGCCAACGGCAUAGCUGGGUAGCUAUGUGUGGACGGGAUAAGUGCUGAAAGCAUCUAAGCAUGAAGCCCCCCUCAAGAUGAGAUUUCCCAACUUCGGUUAUAAGAUCCCUCAAAGAUGAUGAGGUUAAUAGGUUCGAGGUGGAAGCAUGGUGACAUGUGGAGCUGACGAAUACUAAUCGAUCGAAGACUUAAUCAA
rnacentral:rRNA from 1 species